rnacentral:rRNA from 1 species
GAUGAACGCUGGCGGCGUGCCUAAUACAUGCAAGUCGAGCGAAUGGAUUGAGAGCUUGCUCUUAUGAAGUUAGCGGCGGACGGGUGAGUAACACGUGGGUAACCUGCCCAUAAGACUGGGAUAACUCCGGGAAACCGGGGCUAUUACCGGAUAACAUUUUGAACCGCAUGGUUCGAAAUUGAAAGGCGGCUUCGGCUGUCACUUAUGGAUGGACCCGCGUCGCAUUAGCUAGUUGGUGAGGUAACGGCUAACCAAGGCAACGAUGCGUAGCCGACCUGGGAGGGUGCUCGGCCACACUGGGACGGAGACACGGCCCAGACUCCGACGGGAGGCAGCAGUAGGGAAUCUUCCGCAAUGGACGAAAGUCUGACGGAGCAACGCCGCGUGAGUGAUGAAGGCUUUCGGGUCGUAAAACUCUGUUGUUAGGGAAGAACAAGUGCUAGUUGAAUAAGCUGGCACCUUGACGGUACCUAACCAGAAAGCCACGGCUAACUACGUGCCAGCCGCCGCCGUAA